rnacentral:lncRNA from 1 species
UGUGCGUGGGUGGGAAGGCCCAGAGGAGAGGAUCCCACUGGCCUGUGGGCAGCUGGGGACACGGCAGUGUCAGACCAGAAGGGCCUUUGCAUCUGUGGUUCCUCAGCCAUGCUUUUGGUUCCAGGAACACUUCCUGAACUUCCUCCUGGAAGCAGGCCUGCCUUUGCUUGGUUACCAUCCUCUGGAACUUCCUAUCACUGUUUUGAUACCAGGGAUAUCAAAGAUAUGCAGCCAUUCUGGCCCCUGUGCCGCCGAUCCCUAUGUCUACAGUCUACGGUCAUCUCAAAGCCUUUCCCUGAGCUCCAAACGCAUCGCCUGGCCUUCUACAUCUUACCGUGUGAAGUUCAGACCUGCAUUAAACCUACAUUCUGUAGGAUUCUCUGGAAGAUCUUGAGUGAAGAUUGAACUGUGGACCCCAAUGAAGCUUUUCCUGAGAGGCAUUUGCACUUCCUGCCCAUAACAAUGGUCUUCCAUGUGCUUAGAGCACCCUCCCACACUUAGCACCUUUAACUGCUAUUAUUUUUGUUUUCCCUUGAUCAAGAGGAAGGCCUGGAAGACUGAAUUCUGUUGUAAAAGUUUUUAUACACAUGGUUGCAUAAAAACCUUUUCUUCCUAAAACAAAUAUGUAAGAGAUCAGUUUCAGACGAUGUGGAAAGUCAAUGAACUUGAAUACAAAAUUUGUGCAAUUUUAGACAAAAUAAAUUAAAUAUCUUAAAAGGGAGCAUUUGAAAAGCCUAGGUGAUCCCACAAAAAAGGAAAGCAGUGUUUCUAAGACCCAACAUGAUAAUAAAAUUAAGAGAGAGAACAGGGAUGUGAGGCUGAUUUUGCAACUGUAGUGGAAGAAGGAUGACUUGGAAUGAGUGUUCCUGAGGUGUAUGACACUGAGACCUAGGUGUUAAUGCCCAGUGAGAGAG